GACGAACGCUGGCGGCGUGCUUAACACAUGCAAGUCGAACGGUAAGGCCCUUUCGGGGGUACACGAGUGGCGAACGGGUGAGUAACACGUGGGUGACCUGCCCCUCACUCUGGGAUAAGCCUGGGAAACUGGGUCGAAUACCGGAUAUGACUCAUGAUCGCAUGGCUGUGGGGGGAAAGUUUUUCGGUGGGGGAUGGGCCCGCGGCCUAUCAGCUUGUUGGUGGGGUGAUGGCCUACCAAGGCUUCGACGGGUAGCCGGCCUGAGAGGGCGUCCGGCCACACUGGGACUGAGACACGGCCCAGACUCCUACGGGAGGCAGCAGUGGGGAAUAUUGCGCAAUGGGCGGAAGCCUGACGCAGCGACGCCGCGUGGGGGAUGACGGCCUUCGGGUUGUAAAGCUCUUUCGACGGGGACGAUGAUGACGGUACCCGUAUAAGAAGCCCCGGCUAACUUCGUGCCAGCAGCCGCCGUAA
rnacentral:rRNA from 1 species